rnacentral:lncRNA from 1 species
CGUGGAGCUAACACUUGGAUGUUUUCGCUUUAAAUUAUAAACGCAAUACGAAGAAUAUACUUGUUUGGCUAUCAAAUUAUUGCAAUACAAACCUUUCCACCCUGAGGCGUUCUGCUAUUAUUCAACGCAGAUAACAUGUUCCUCUUAACGAGGUUUUUCAAGGGUUCUCCUUGUUUAUAGGUUUCUUAGAAAAACCUUGUGAAAAAUAUGUUUCACACUGAGAAAGCAGGGAAGAUAUUAACUUCAACAAAUCUCUAUAAAAAAGAAAACUGGCAAAGAAAGACGAUUGAAAGUGCCUAUGUGUGAGUAUUGAAUGUGAUUUUUAUGCUUGCUUCUGGUGUGCCAUUGUAUUGGUGUUUGUAGGAAAUUUAUGAAUGAAUGAAUGGCAAAGUACUUCCAUCCAGUAACAUUCUUUUAAGUACAAGUCGUGUAUAUAUAUACAUAUCAUGUUAUUUUUGUCUUCUAUGAAACUCGUGUUUAUAUAUGCAUGUAUGUGUAUAUGUAUGCAAACAUACAUAUAUUCGCAUACAUCAAUUUGUAUAUACAUAUACGUAUAUAUGUAUGUAUAUGUAUAUGCAUAUAUAUAUAUACAUAGAUACACACACGCACACACACAUAUAUAUAUACAUGUAUAGAUUCACAUAUAUAUAUACACACACACACAUACAUAUGUAUUUACAGAUAUGUGCACGUGUAUAUAUAUAUAUAUAUAUAUAUAUAUAUAUAUAUAUAAAACAUAUCUAUCUAUCUACUUUUCUAUCUGUGUGCCUGUCUGUCUAUCCCUCUAUAUGUAUAUAUAUAUAUAUUUACGUGUUUGUGUGCGCGUGUGUGUGUACAUAAAUAUAUAUAUACAUAAUACAUACAUAUAUAUAUAUAAAUAAAUGUCAAUAUAUAUAUGUGUGUGUAAAUAUAUAUAUAUAUUUAUAUAUAUAUAUAUAUAUACAUACACGCACCACGCACACACACCUAUAUGCGUCGAUAUUGAUAAUGCACUUGUAUUUGUGCAUGUAUGGAAUUCGUUAUUGCAUAGAUAUGGAGGAAACGUACAGAACCUCCUUUAAAUAUUAUCGUUUAUUUCUUUGGCACCACUCCACCAAAAUAAUGGAUGUGCAACGUAAGUGCAUCUUCAACCUAUUGUACAUGUAACGUGUUGCUAUAAAACACAGCCACAGCAAGGGGCAGUAGCGUGUGCACCGGCAACAACAGUUGUAAUACUGAGGUGGAUAUUGUAAGUGCAUGUCAUUUGUUAUAUAGAAUUCUUUGUAAUUGUCCGGGUAUAUUUAACUAAAGUACUCGUUGAAAGGGAAAACAAUUGGUUAAGAAUUUCCGGGUAUAUUAGGUUAGGUGUGAAAAGGGUAUUGCUGUUGGUGCAAUACGGUAGAAUUUUGUCAUAUUGCAUUUUCGAGGCUAUAAAUGUAGAAAGCCUGAUAAUUCAGAAAACCUUUUCUGCAAUGAAUAUUCUAAUCGAUAGAUAGGAUUUGGUGGCCAUUGUGCGAUACAUAUUUAGGAAUAUAUAUAUAUAUAUAUAUAUAUAUAUAUAUAUAUAUAUAUAUAUAUUUUGGAGAAUGUAUAAUGCAUGUUAAAAGUAUGUAGCACAUACUGUUAAAAGUAUGUUGGGUAUGCAUACAUGUAUAUGCAUGUAUUUAUGUGUGUAUGUACACACACACACACACACACACACAUACACACACAUAUAUAUAUAUUAUUUUAGUACGGAGCAAAUAAUUCACGAGAGAAAAUUAUUCACGGGAAAAUAAUUUAUAUAUAUAUAUAUAUAUAUAUAUACAUACCCCAAAUGCCACACACUAGGACUCAACCAGCAAUACUAUUGGACUGGUUGGGAAGCCACACCUGCGCCUUUAUAUAUAUAUAUAUAUAUAUAUAUAUAUAUAUAUAUACAUAUAGAGAUAUAUAUAUAUAUAUAUAUAUAUAUAUAUAUAUAUAUAUACAUAGAUUGAUAGAUUAGAGACAGGUAUUCUCUCCAUUUUGUUAACACCUGAAUAUAUAUAUGCAUAUAUAUGUAUGUACGUAUGUAUAUGCAUAUGUGUCUGUGUGUUUGUGUGUGUGUGCGUGUAUGCAUCUGUAUAUACUACAUGAACAGCCUGUAUAAUGCGGUUUCAUAAAAACUUGAAUCAAUGACCUCUCACGUGUAAAAAGAAACAAAUAAAAAAUACAAACAAAAUGAAAACGAAAAAAAAAUUUUUUUAAACCUGCGCCAUGUUUCUUAUUGUCUGCAUCCUAUUUUUCAGGGUUGUGGGUCAUGGAAGGAAAAGACAAGACGUGAAAGGAAGUAAUUUCAAUAACCGUAGAAUUAUUGUAAGUCUUUUAAUUAGAGGAUAGAAUCCGGUUUGAAAGAAACUAGAGAACGUCUGAAUGCCAGUACGAAUUAGUUCAUCGUAGAAUUUUAUUAUUGGAUAACUGUUCACAACUGGCGGCAUUUGAACUUGUUUGAACUUCACUAAUUAGAUAACUUUAAAAGCGUCUGAAUCAAAGGAUGGAAGCUAUACGAUGUUGCAAUUUUCGUUUUUAAAGUAUCUAUAAAUAAACAGGAAAUAAAAUAGAAACCAUUUUCGUAAGGUUAGUCAGUUGACGCCGAGAUAUAUACUCUUUUACUUGUUUCAGUCAUUUGGCUGCGGCUAUGCUGGAGCACCGCCUUUUAGUCGAGCAAAUCGAUCCCCAUGACUUAUUCUUUGUAAGCCUAGUACUUAUUUUAUCAGUCGCUUUUUGCCGAACCGCUAAGUUACGGGUACGUAAACACACCAGCAUCAGUUGUCAAGGGAUGUUGCGGUGGGAACAAACACAGACACACAAACAUAUACACACACAUACUUAUAUUAUAUAUAUAUAGAGAGAGAGAGAGACAGAUAGAUAGAUAGAUAGAUAGAUAGAUAGAUAGAUAGAUAGAUAGAUAGAUAUGUUUCUUUAUUAGCCACACAGGGCUGCACACAGAUAGAACAAAUUACAAGGUAGAGCUUUUCUUUUGAAGGUUUAAGAAAGAAAAAAAAAAAAAAAAAGGAAGGGGGAGUUUCGAUCAAAAGGGAUCGUAAAAGGAGAGAAAGAGGACAAAAAAAAAGGGGGUUUAAAAAAAAGGGGGGGAGGAAAAAAAAUUGAUCAAUAGGGAUCGUUAUCACAGAAAUGUCAAUAUGAAGUGUAAAGGGGAGGACAGGUGAGGUUUACCCGUGCAAAGAAAAGCCUACGGAAAAGACCACGGUAACCUCGGUCAAUGAUGUCACAUUUUAUAUUUCUUUUUUUUUUUUUUUUGCAAAUAAGCAACUCUCUGUUUUCGAUUUCUGGGUUCAUAGGACUAUGCUCAAGGUGGCUUCGUCAUUCAUACGUGCCAUUCUUGCUACAUUCACCCAUCUUUUUUUAAAACAUUCGCUAGACAAAACUUGCCUCUCUACUCUCACUUUCCUUUUCAAGUGGUACUUGAAGAAGUUGAUGAGAGAUUGACCAGAGAGGAAAGUGUUUGUCUCCAAUCCUUUCAGACGCGUCCACCAGAUACAUUCUUUCGCCAUAGCCACAAGGAUGAUGAAAAUAGCUCUUCCUUCCCGUUUGAAGGAAGGAGGCGUGACAAUAUUGACGAUAGACUCAGCUGAUAAACCGACUCGUCCCACACGUGACAGCAGUUGUUCGACAUAAGCCCACAGGUCGGAAAUUGUUGGACACUGAACGAGUGCGUGCAGAACGGUUUCGUCGCUCUGACCGCAUCUCGGGCAGGUCGGCCCCGUGUUUCUCGAGCCGUGUCUGUAGAGCUUAUCCCGAACGGGUAGCGCUUCUCGGUAGCACUGCCAGGCCAGGGAUCUCUGGAAGUUGUCCAUGGGCCCUGGCCCAGAUAGAUAGAUAGAUAGAUAGAUAGAUAGAUAGAUAGAUAGAUCUGUAAAUGUAAUAUCUGACAAUAUAUAGCCAAGAUAAAACUCUGAGUUUCGGAUGCCGAGGUGGAAAUCCACGCCACCAUCUCUUCAGUUAUCCGGCGAUCCUAUAUAUAUAUAUAUAUAUAUAUAUAUAUACGACUGGCUACUUUCAGUUUCCGCCUACCUAAUACACUCACAAGGCUUUGGUCGGCCCGAGGCUAUAGUAGAAGACACUUGCCGAAGGUGCCACGCAGUGGGACUGAACCCGGAACCAUGUGGUUUGUAAGCAAGCUACUUACCACACAGCCACUCCUGCACCCAUUAGUUUAAAAUUUUGGAACAAGGUCGGUAAUUUUGGCAGAGGUGGCUAGUCCAGCAGAAGAACCCCAGUUUGCAACUAGUACUUGUUUUAUCGACCGCAAAAGGUUGAAAAGCAAAAUCGACCUCGGCGGAAUUUGAACUCAGAAUGUAGAGAAGGACGAAAUGUUGGUUAGUGCUUUGCCCGACCUACUAAGCAGUCUGCCAGCUCACCCGCGUUCAUGAGAAUUUCAAACUUUGGCACAAGGCCAGCAAUUUCGGGAGAGGGGAUAAGUCGAUUUCAUCGACCCCAGUGUUAAACUGGUGGUCAACUGGAACUUUUUGUAUCGACCCCGAAAGGUAGAAAGCCAAAGAUGAGAUAGACAGAGAGAGAGGGGGGAGACAGACAGACAGACAGACAGUCAUACACACACACACGCACACACAGACACACACGCACACACACACACACGCGCACAGACAGACAUACAGAUAGAUAGAUAGAUAGAUAGAUAGAUAGAUAGAUAGAUAGACAGACAGACAGAUAGAUAGAUAGAUAGAUAGAUAGAUAGAUAGAUAGAUAGAUAGAUAGAUAGAUAGACAGACAGACAGACAGAUAGAUAGAUAGAUAGAUAGAUAGAUAGAUAGAUAGAUAGAUAGAUAGAUAGAUAGAUAGAUAGAUAGAUAAGUUUCUUUAUUGGCCACACAGGGCUGCACACAGAUGGGACAAGUUACAAGGUAGAGCUUUUCUUUUGGGGGAUGAAGAGAACAAAAAACAAAAGAAAAAAAAAGGGGGUGCCGUAGGUUUUCGAUCAAGAGGGAUCGUAAAAGGGAAGAAAAGAACAAAAAAAA